rnacentral:rRNA from 1 species
AUGUCGACGAGCCCGGUCAUCGGUAGGUGCGAAGCGCAAAUCUUCGGGCACCAUCGACAGCGACGCCUCCAAAGUCCAAACCCCACGCACUCGGCAUUGCCGCCGGCACCACGAUAUCACCGCUCCGCCGGUGUCAUGAGGCCUCUGCUCUCCCGCCUAUUCGCCCCCAGUCACAUCGCCAUGGCCGCCCCCUCCGCAUCGCCGUCCCGACGGCUCGCCCACCUCACACGCCACCUCCUCGCCUCUUCCUCGUCCUCCCCCUCCGGCGAGCUCUCCUCGGUGGGCGCCCCCGCCGCCGCCGCCUCCGGCCCAGCCCGCGCGGCCGCAUCCAAGGCCUUCGCCGCCGUGCUGGUCUGCAUCUUCGAGGACACACGCGGGGACCCCCGCGUCCUCCUCACCAAACGCGCCUCCACCCUCUCGUCCCAUUCAGGGGAGGUGUCGUUGCCGGGAGGCAAGGUGGAUCAGGGGGAUGUGGAUGUUAAGGCCACGGCUCUGCGGGAGGCAGAGGAGGAGAUUGGGCUGGACCCGGCGCUUGUAUCUGUUGUGACAGUUCUUGAGCCCUUCUUGUCCAAGAAUGGCCUUGAUGUUACUCCUGUAAUUGGCAUUCUUUCGGAUAGAGCUCUAUUCAAUCCUGUCUUGAAUAAAGCUGAAGUGCAAGACAUCUUUGACGCCCCUCUGGAGAUGUUUCUGAAGGAUGAUAACCGGACAACAAGACAAAGGGACUGGAUGGGGAAGACUAUUCCGGUCCAGUUCUUUGACUACGAGGCAGAGGGCAAAAAAUAUGUCAUUUGGGGCUUAACCGCACACAUUCUGACCCGUGCUGCAUCAGUCGUUCUACAGAGACAGCCAUCAUUCUCUGAACUUCCGAAUAGACCAGAAACUAUUCCCACCAGCAAGCACUGA